AUAUUAAAUCAUUUCUGGCAUCAUGCAGUGGAAAUAAUCUUUUAAGUCACUCCAUCACUCUACUAAAACACUGAACUGAGCAAAUAUGCAGAGUUCUGAUUCGAAAGAAGGAACCAGAACAAAAACCUCAAGGACCACCAAAACCAGUUCUGGAAUCACCUGAUGGCAGCCCUAAUCAUCUCAGUGUCUCCAGGAGGAAAGAAGAAUGCAAGACUAUCAAUCCUGAUCUUUACCUAUAGCCCUAUUCUCCAAUCUGAAACCAUAAGACACCUUCCUAUUUCCCAGGAAAUAGUUAGCCUACUGUG